rnacentral:rRNA from 1 species
UACGUAGGGCGCAAGCGUUUGUCCGGAAUUAUUGGGCGUAAAGAGCUCGUAGGCGGUUUGUCGCGUCUGCUGUGAAAACCUAAGGCUCAACCUUGGGCUUGCAGUGGGUACGGGCAGACUAGAGUGCGGUAGGGGUGACUGGAAUUCCUGGUGUAGCGGUGGAAUGCGCAGAUAUCAGGAGGAACACCGAUGGCGAAGGCAGGUCACUGGGCCGGCAACUGACGC